UACGUAGGGGGCGAGCGUUGUCCGGAAUCAUUGGGCGUAAAGAGCGUGUAGGCGGCCCGGUAAGUCCGCUGUGAAAGUCGGGGGCUCAACCCUCGAAUGCCGGUGGAUACUGUCGGGCUAGAGUGCGGAAGAGGCGAGUGGAAUUCCUGGUGUAGCGGUGAAAUGCGCAGAUAUCAGGAGGAACACCAAUUGCGAAGGCAGCUCGCUGGGACGUAACUGACGCUGAGACGCGAAAGCGUGGGGAGCAAACAGG
rnacentral:rRNA from 1 species